UCCACCACCACCAUACUACUACCACUCUCCUCCUCCUCCAGUCAAAUCACCACCGCCACCGUACUACUACCACUCCCCGCCUCCUCCGGUGAAAUCCCCACCACCACCAUAUUACUACCACUCACCACCUCCACCGGUGAAAUCUCCACCACCACCAUACUAUUACCACUCACCACCUCCUCCGGUGAAGUCUCCUCCACCACCAUACUACUAUCACUCUCCACCACCACCGGUGAAAUCUCCUCCUCCUUACUAUUAUCAUUCUCCACCUCCUCCGGUGAAAUCUCCUCCACCACCGUACUACUACCAUUCUCCACCUCCUCCAGUCAAGUCUCCACCACCACCGUACUACUAUCAUUCACCACCUCCUCCGGUGAAAUCUCCACCACCACCAUACUAUUACCACUCACCACCCCCACCUGUGAAAUCUCCUCCUCCACCAUACUACUAUCACUCACCUCCUCCUCCGGUGAAAUCUCCACCACCACCAUACUAUUACCAUUCACCACCCCCUCCAGUCAAAUCUCCUCCUCCACCAUACUACUACCACUCACCACCUCCUCCAGUGAAAUCUCCACCACCACCAUACUAUUACAACUCUCCACCACCACCGGUGAAAUCUCCUCCACCUCCAGUCUACAUCUACGCUUCUCCCCCACCUCCCACCCAUUACUAGGCUCAUCAAAUUCAACCAAAUUUCCCCAUUAUUCAAG
rnacentral:lncRNA from 1 species